rnacentral:misc_RNA from 1 species
GAUGAAGAACGCAGCGAAAUGCGAUAAGUAAUGUGAAUUGCAGAAUUCAGUGAAUCAUCGAAUCUUUGAACGCACAUUGCGCCCGCCAGUAUUCUGGCGGGCAUGCCUGUUCGAGCGUCAUUACAACCCUCAGGCCCCCGGGCCUGGCGUUGGGGAUCGGCGGAAGCCCCCUGCGGGCACAACGCCGUCCCCCAAAUACAGUGGUGGUCCCGCCGCAGCUUCCAUUGCGUAGUAGCUAACACCUCGCAACUGGAGAGCGGCGCGGCCACGCCGUAAAACACCCAACUUCUGAAUGUUGACCUCGAAUCAGGUAGGAAUACCCGCUGAACUUAAGCAUAUCAAUAAGCGGAGGA